rnacentral:lncRNA from 1 species
GCUGAGCAGACGCUCCGGCAGAGGCCUGAGGAGCGUGCUGUGCUGUGGGGCCUGAGUUGCUUACCGAGGGCAGGCGCCUGCCCCCUACUCCUCAGCUCCAGAGGACGAGCUUCCUGAGGCCGAGGGUUCCCUGCCCUGCCGAGGCCACAUGGACAGAAGGUGAUGGCAGAGACUGGGCCACGUGUCUGCUGGACGCAACACCCCCGCUCUGGCCGUGCAGCAGAAGGAGCCCUUCCUCCGGCAGUGUGGUCAUGCAAUGGCCUGUGGGUGGCUUGAGUCCCAACACUGUCCAUGCGUCCUUCAGCUACAGGGAGAGGCAGACAAGUAUAAGAUUGGGAUGAGCAGGGAUCCUUUGGGUGCGGCUUUGUGAAUCUGCUCAAUCAAUCAACACAUACAGGCAACCUCUGACUUGUGAACACAGGCCUAGGGCAGCCUGGACACGAGGAUUGCUGCGUUGGCUGAUUUGGGGCAGAGUUGCUCCCACUGCCUUUACUAAAAUUGCCACUGAAACUCCAGACGCUAAAGCACCCCCACCCCUCCCCCCUUUGUUUUCCUGGAACUCUUCUUGACCACAAUUCUAAUGUCAGUUUGUUUUCUUGGAUUGUUUCUCUUUUUCC